UAUAAUUUAUUUUUUCUACCAUUUUAUAGGGCCUGAUGAUUGUGAUGAUAAAGUAGACUAUUGCAUAUAAAGAUGGGCUUGAAUUAAAGAAGAAAUAACAGAUACAGUUGCUGAUGGCAAUUGGGCCAUUUUGUUUGUAAUAGAAGGUUUUGGGGUACAUGUGAAGGACAUGCAGGAUUGUUGCACAGGCCAUUAAUCAUCAUAUUUAUUCUACCUUAUCCAACAUGAAAACCUUUUCCUGGAUUGAGUACAGAGCAGGUAAAGCUGAACAACAUUGCUUGCUCUAGUAUUUAUUAACAUGACACCAUCUGUU
rnacentral:lncRNA from 1 species